CCCUUGGAUGUUCUGGGCCGCACGCGUGCUACACUGAGUGGAUCAGCGGGUCAGGUUGCGCGAAAGCGUUUCCUAAUCUUUAAAUCCGCUCGUGAUGGGGAUUGACGGUUGCAAUUUUCUGUCAUGAACGAGGAAUACCUUGUAAGCGCGGGUCAUCAUCCCGCGCUGAAUACGUCCCUGCCCUUUGUACACACCGCCCGUCGCUCCUACCGAUUGAGUGGUCCGGUGAAUUAUUCGGACCGGUGGACUGUGGGGAAACCCGCGGCCUGCUGGGAAGUCUUGUGAACCUUAUCACUUAGAGGAAGCAGAAGUCGUAACA
rnacentral:rRNA from 1 species